rnacentral:rRNA from 1 species
GAUACUUGGUGUGAAUUGCAGAAUUCAGUGAAUCAUCGAAUCUUUGAACGCACAUUGCGCCCCCUGGUAUUCCGGGGGGCAUGCCUGUUCGAGCGUCAUUUCACCACUCAAGCCUCGCUUGGUAUUGGGCAACGCGGUCCGCCGCGUGCCUCAAAUCGACCGGCUGGGUCUUCUGUCCCCUAAGCGUUGUGGAAACUAUUCGCUAAAGGGUGCUCGGGAGGCUACGCCGUAAAACAACCCCAUUUCUAAGGUUGACCUCGGAUCAGGUAGGGAUACCCGCUGAACUUAAGCAUAUCAAUAAGCGGA